UACGUAGGGUGCAAGCGUUGUCCGGAAUUAUUGGGCGUAAAGAGCUCGUAGGCGGUUCGUCGCGUCGGCUGUGAAAUCCCGAGGCUCAACCUCGGGUCUGCAGUCGAUACGGGCGGACUGGAGUUCGGCAGGGGAGACUGGAAUUCCUGGUGUAACGGUGAAAUGCGCAGAUAUCAGGAGGAACACCGGUGGCGAAGGCGGGUCUCUGGGCCGAUACUGACGCUGAGGAGCGAAAGCGUGGGGAGCGAACAGG
rnacentral:rRNA from 1 species